rnacentral:snoRNA from 1 species
CUCCCCUGCUAACUGGGCAAAGAGGCACCUGGUCCGUGGUGCUGCUCUUAAAUCUAGCAGGGGAAGAGCAACGCGUCCCUGUUCAUCCCAGCACAGUAUCCUGGCCCAUAUCUGUUGCUGGUUCAUGCCGGGGGCACACGC